rnacentral:rRNA from 1 species
AGCAGCCGCGGUAAUUCCAGCUCCAAUAGCGUAUAUUAAAGUUGUUGCAGUUAAAAAGCUCGUAGUUGAAUUUCGGGAUCGACGGGUCGGUCGCGCCUCCGGUGUGUACUGGCCCUGUCGGUUUCUCCCUUCUGACGAACCACGAUGUCAUUAAUUUGAUGUCGUGAGGAAUCAGGACUGUUACUUUGAAAAAAUUAGAGUGUUUAAAGCAGGCAUUCGCUUGAAUACAUUAGCAUGGAAUAAUGAAAUAGGACGUUUGAUCUUAUUUUGUUGGUUUCUAAGAUCGACGUAAUGAUUAAUAGGGAUAGUUGGGGGCAUUAGUAUUCAAUUGUCAGAGGUGAAAUUCUUGGAUUUAUUGAAGACUAACUACUGCGAAAGCAUUUGCCAAGGAUGUUUUCAUUAAUCAAGAACGAAAGUUAGGGGAUCGAAGACGAUCAGAUACCGUCGUAGUCUUAACCAUAAACUAUGCCGACUAGGGAUCGGAUGAUGUUAAUUUUUAAUGACUCAUUCGGCGCCUUAA